UACAGUCCGACGAUCUGCUCUGAACAGAGUUUGUCCCUUUGUUGGUCACGAGCAGGGCAAACAGCUCAGCCAACACUCAAUCCCUAAGGAAAGACUUUGGAUUGGAUACGAGCUCUGCAAAUUGCUUGGUGAAGGAGCUCUAUUUGAGCUAUGAGUAGUCUUGAUACAGUACCUUGGUCAGUCUGAGGUAGGAAUAGAUAUUUUACUUUUUAAAGACUAUAACGGGGCAAAAUAAAUCCGUUUGUAAUCUACUGUGUUAUGCUAUUUAUUAUUUAUAACUCUGUAAAAAGUCUGUGGUGAUGAAUUAUAGUAUUUUUUUAUGAUUGAAUAAGUUUUUUAUGUUCGGUAAUUGCUGGCUGGUUUGUAUUUAAUACGCAACAUUGUCUGCCAGAAUCAUAAGCUUCCAUUUUUGAAUGUUUGUAACAUAAAUGCUUUUGUUACCUAAAAGUACAACUUGUGAUCUUUCUGAAAGAAAAUAGCACUGAAUUUAAAGUAAGAUUAUGUGCUUUAGAAGUGAGCACAACCUCUGGCAAUACUGUCUGCCUAGAAGGGGAGGGGAGAACCAUAGUUUUUUCCGAAGAAGCUGUUGGGUAUCCAGAAGACAUGUACAUACCAGAUUAUUUUUAAAAGUGUUUCCUUUAAAUUGUAAGAAGUACUAGAAUGGGCCAACAGUGGCACUAUUAUUUGUAUUACCAUUUUCACCUGUGGAGCAUUAGUUCCCCACUUCAAAUAAAUGUGCAUAUUGUAAAAUAUUGUCCAUUGGUGCCAUUUUUAAAUGAGCUCUACAAGUAUUGAAUGUUAAUUUUAUUUGUAUAUGCACAGUGCUAUUUCUUGAAUUUUUGAUGUCUUAAAUCGCUUAAUUAUUUUUUUAUUCAUGCCUGUGUCUUCUCUGCCUUCUUGAUGCUGAAAGAAGGCUCCUUUUCCAUUGCAAAAUAUUGAUAAACAGUCCGUGAUAAAAUCCAAGCCGUUACCUGUGCCCCAGUUUCUUUAUACCUUGCUUUUACUGCUACCGUGAUUUAGAAAUCUAAACAAGGGGUGGCAGGAGGGGGAAAUCUACUGCAUGCUUUCUUAAACCUGAGAAGAGCAUAGCUAUUGCUUAUUUUUGGCUGAUUUACCUGUACAAUUGAUGUAUUCCGGAUUUGUUUGUUAGUGGAGAGUCUUAUCUGAGUGCUGGCCUCUGUAAACAUUCGAAUGUACGCUGCAUAAAGCAAACGCACAAACAGUCACUCUUGUUACAGCAGUUUUUUGUAGUGUUCUGGCUGUUCUGCACUCUUGGAGUGUCUUAUGAAAGACAUUGCUCUUUUAUAAAAUAUAUACUUAAUGCA